rnacentral:lncRNA from 1 species
CUGGAGACCGGGUGGUCAGAUGCUGCCCCAUGGGCUUCUGGGGGCACCAGAGAAAGGAGAGGGAGCAUGUGGGUCUCAUGAGUGGCAGGGCCAGGACCUUUCUGACCCCACUCCUCCUGCUGCUAGAGCCCAAGUUCGUCAAGGUCUUUUGGAUCCCAGAGAGCGAGAAUCCUGAUGAUGACAAGAUCUACUUCUUCUUCCGUGAGUCGGCAGUGGAGGCUUCGCCAUCACUGGGACGCCAGACUGUGUCCCGGGUUGGCCAGAUCUGUCGGGUGAGGAGUCCUUGGGCCACAUCCGAUGACUACAUCCCUGCCCUUUUGCCUGUCUGGGCCUCCCCCUCAUCCCUGCUGAUUGACCCUGCAGAAUGACGUGGGAGGCCAGCGAAGCCUUGUCAACAAGUGGACCACGUUCCUGAAGGCGCGUCUGGUGUGCUCAGUGCCAGGUGUCGAGGGUGACACACACUUCGACCACCUCCGUGAGUGCCAGGAGCAGAGGAUGGGGUUGGAGAGAGGGAGUGCAGGGGGCCAGACCCAGGAGCCGGGCUGCCCAGAGGGCUGUGUGCCCUCCCCCAACUAGGCUUCUUCCCCACAGAGGACAUGUUCCUGCUGUCCUUGAGGGACCGCUGGAGCCCACUGCUCUACGCUGUCUUCUCCACAUCAAGGUGAGGGGCAGAAGGUAGAGGGCAGGGCCCAAAGGGCUCUUCUGGGCCCCUCAGUCUGCUCAUGUCUUCGCCUGCAGCACCAUCUUCCAGGGCUCUGCAGUGUGUGUGUACAGCAUGAACGACGUGCGCCGGGCCUUCCUGGGGCCCUUUGCACACAAGGAAGGGCCCAUGCACCAGUGGGUGUCCUACCAGGGCCGUGUCCCCUACCCCCGGCCUGGCAUGGUGCGUAGCCCCAGGAGUCCCACCACAACCCACUUAAAGUCUCAGGGGUGGAAAACUUGGCCUGGGAUCUUCUUGGUGAAUGUGUUUUUUUCCUUCCGUUAUGGGUGGGAAAACAUCACCUUUGUCAGACAGGGCUCCUCAGAGGAAGGGCAUAUUUCCCCCUAAGAGUCCCAAGGGCAAGUCUGGGUCUUCUCUCUUCAGAUUCUCAGGGCAGACCUCUGUCCAUUAGCACUCCUCUAUACUCGGGUACCUGGAGGUCUCUUGUGGACCCACCAGGCCCUCGUACCCACAUCCCUGUCGUGCCUCCUCCCCACCUGCCCAGUGUCCCAGCAAGACCUUUGGCACCUUCAGUUCUACCAAGGACUUUCCUGAUGACGUCAUUCAAUUUGCCCGGAACCACCCCCUCAUGUACAAUUCGGUCCUGCCCAUGGGUGGUCGCCCUCUCUUCAUACAAGUGGAUGCCGGGUACACCUUCACCCAGAUCACUGCAGACCGUGUAGCAGCUGCUGACGGACACUACGACGUCCUCUUCAUUGGCACAGGUCAGUGUCCUGCCAUGACUACCCAUAAAACUCUGUCCAGACUCUCUUCCACCUGUCAGCAGAAGCUGCCCCUGCCCAGUCCCAUCUUCACAUCUUUGCCUGGGUUGUGCUCUCAUCUCCUUCUGGAUGCUGGUCUGAUUGUUCCAACCCACAUUCUUCACCUAUCCAACCAUGCUAAGGGUAAAGGCCUCAGAAGUGAGGAGAUCCCCAGCCCUAGCUGCCAGGAAACACAAGGAAUCACUCAUUCCUCAUCCCUGCAGACGCUGGCACAGUGCUGAAGGUGAUCUCCGUCCCCAAGGGCAGCCAGCCUAACGGGGAGGGGCUGCUCUUGGAGGAGCUGCACGUUUUUGAGGUGAGGCCUAGCCCCCUCCUCCUAGAGGAACCCUACCCCAUUGAUCUCUGAUCCCAGCGCUCGCUCCUCCUCCUCCUCCUCUCAGGAUUCAUCUGCUAUCACCAGCAUGCAAAUCUCUUCCAAGAGGGUAAGUGACCAAAAGGCUUGGGAGCAGAAGGGACCCAGUGUGUUCCCCGGGCACCCCUACCCCCACACCUCCCUUGGUAGUUUGAAGCACUGGGUUUGAGUAUAGGUUCUGCCUUUGCUAGACUGCGUGACCUGAGACCCUGAUCAGUGUCAAGUGGGGUGAGGGAUCCCUGACCAAUGGGAGGCGGGCACAGGGCUGCCUUCGGUCAGCCCGGAGCCCCUCGUGCCCCCUAGCACCAGCUGUACAUAGCUUCGCGGAGCGCGGUCGCCCAGAUCCCGUUGCACCUCUGUGCUGCCCACGGCCGCGCCUGUGCGGAAUGCUGCCUUGCGCGCGACCCUUACUGCGCCUGGGACGGGGCCGCGUGCACGCGCUUUCAGCCCAGCGCUAAAAGGUGGGCAGGGUUGGGGGCGGGCCACCUGGAAUCAUUUGCAGCACCUGGCUAAAUGAAGAAGGACUCACCGAGGCUCUAAUGUACCAAUGCAACCCCCACCCUGCAGGCGGUUCCGGCGGCAAGACGUGAGGAAUGGCGACCCCAGCACGCUGUGCUCCGGCGGUGAGUGCCCCCAGCUGCCCCACUUCUGGGCCUUUGAAGACGCCCCACCCUGCCCUGCCUGAAUCUGACAUUCCUUUGCCCUCCCCAGAUUCCUCUCAUCCCGCACUGCUGGAGCGGAAGGUGUUCGGUGUGGAGGGCGGAAGCGCCUUCCUGGAGUGUGAGCCCCGCUCGCUGCAGGCGCGCGUGGAAUGGACCUUCCAGCGCGCAGGGGAGGCGACCCACACCCAGGUGAGCCUCACGCCCUCCCUUCCCAAACAAGCCCUUGUCCCGCCCCCUACAUCCAGGAGAGCCCCGCCUUGCCAGUGUGGUUCCCACUUCUAGACUAGGUCCGACCCCGCCCAGUGAGACUCUGUCCAGCUAGACCCCUUACGUCCAGUUUGGUCCCUUACCUGAACUCCACGUUCUGGUGAGGCCCCAUUCCAUCUAACUAGACUCCUGACACCCCCCUCCCCCAUCCGAGAGGAGCCCCGCCCAUUGAGGCCCCCGCCCCGCCCCCAUGUUCAGGUAACCCCUCCCCCCCCCCACCUCCAGUCCAGUCCCGUCCGGUCUCGUCCGGUCCGGUAAGAGUUUCCGCUUUUAGACCACUGGUCCCAGUGCACCCAACCUUCAAAGGUACACCUGCGAGAGUCCCUUACCUGCUCAUGCUUGGCCACCGUUGACCCUCUACCUCUCCUGGCCCGACCUGGGAGCCGGGUUUCCUUGUUCCUGACACCGAUGCCUUUGCCUCCCACUGGCCCCGCCUGCAGGUAGCUAUGGAGGAGCGCGCGGAGCGCCUUACGGGGGGACUGCUGCUGCGCGGACUGAGGCGCGGGGAUUCUGGCGUGUACCUGUGCGCAGCUGUGGAGCAGGGCUUUUCGCAGUCGCUGCGUCGCCUGGUGCUACACGUGCUGAGUGCUGCGCAGGCCGAAAGGCUGGCCCGGACCGAGGAGGCUGUGCCCGUAGCCCCUCCAGGCCCCAGGCUCUGGUACCGGGACUUCCUGCAGCUGGUGGAGCCGGGCGGCGGUGGCGCGAGUUCCCUGCGAAUGUGUCGUCUGCAGCCUGAGUCGCGCCCACCGCCUCCCGAGUCACGGAGGAAGGGCCGAAACCGGCGAAGGCACGCCCCAGAGCCGCGUGCUGAGCGGGGGCCGCGCAGCGCAGCGCACUGGUGAUUCGGCAGUCCACGCCGGGUACAGGGAAGGAGGCUACAGGCAGGACAGGGGGAGGACAGACCGUGGAGGACGCACAGCUAGGGGGCCUGGCACAUUGGUCCCUGGUUGAUGGAGACACCGACCUACAGGCCCUGGCUGAGGGGCAGCCUCCCCGGCUUAUUUAUUAACAGAGGAUAACCCUUGAAUGUAGCCCUGGGAGGGACGGCCCAGGCGGGGCACAGGGGCCGGCUGGUCGGGAGGAGGGAGAUAAGCAAGGCUCCAGAGCAACGACCUGGGCAGAGGAGGUGCCCGGAGUGCCCACCCCGGGAUAAAGACCUCCUCCUUGGAGAAUGAGCAGAAAGCUGUGAACAGGCUGAACUGGUGGGGCGGGAGUGGGACAGGCCGACUGUACUAAUGCAAUAAACACAUUAUGAGCCGAAGCUGGAAUGGCCCCAGCUGACAACCGCUGGUACUAGGUCUUGCUGUGCGGCCUUGGGCAACUUCCUAGCAGUCUUAGGGCCUCAGUUUCUGAAAAGGAUGCUGUGAUGAGGAUUAAAGGCAGUUUC